CGUGGAGACAGGUGGUGCAUGGCUGUCGUCAGCUCGUGUCGUGAGAUGUUGGGUUAAGUCCCGCAACGAGCGCAACCCUCACCCCUAGUUGCCACCGGGUAAAGCCGAGCACUCGAGGGGAACUGCCAGCGUCAAGCUGGAGGAAGGCGGGGAUGACGUCAAGUCAUCAUGCCCCUUACGCCCUGGGCUACACACGUGCUUCAAUGGCCGGUACAAAGGGACGCGAGACUGCAAGGUGGAGCUAAUCCCAAGAAACUGGUCUAAGUUCAGAUUGCAGUCUGCAACUCGACUGCAUGAAGGAGGAAUCGCUAGUAAUCGCGCAUCAGCACGGCGCGGUGAAUACGUUCCCGGGCCUUGUACACACCGCCCGUCACACCACGAAAGCUGUCUGUACUCGAAGUCGCUGAG
rnacentral:rRNA from 1 species